GUCUGAUGACUCAUAAUAACUUUACGGAUCACAUUAAAUGUGACAUAUCAUUCAAGUUUCUGACCUAUCAGCUUUAAACGGUAGGGUAUUGGCCUAUCAAUUGAGAGGG
rnacentral:rRNA from 1 species